rnacentral:rRNA from 1 species
AUUGAACGCUGGCGGCAGGCCUAACACAUGCAAGUCGAGCGGAUGAAGGGAGCUUGCUCCUGGAUUCAGCGGCGGACGGGUGAGUAAUGCCUAGGAAUCUGCCUGGUAGUGGGGGAUAACGUCCGGAAACGGGCGCUAAUACCGCAUACGUCCUGAGGGAGAAAGUGGGGGAUCUUCGGACCUCACGCUAUCAGAUGAGCCUAGGUCGGAUUAGCUAGUUGGUGGGGUAAAGGCCUACCAAGGCGACGAUCCGUAACUGGUCUGAGAGGAUGAUCAGUCACACUGGAACUGAGAAACGGUCCAGACUCCUACGGGAGGCAGCAGUGGGGAAUAUUGGGCAAUGGGCGAAAGCCUGAUCCAGCCAUGCCGCGUGUGUGAAGAAGGUCUUCGGAUUGUAAAGCACUUUAAGUUGGGAGGAAGGGCAGUAAGUUAAUACCUUGCUGUUUUGACGUUACCAACAGAAUAAGCACCGGCUAACUUCGUG